rnacentral:rRNA from 1 species
UACGUAGGGUGCGAGCGUUAAUCGGAAUUACUGGGCGUAAAGCGUGCGCAGGCGGUUCGUUGUGUCGGCGGUGAAAGCCCCGGGCUUAACCUGGGAAUGGCCGUUGAAACUGGCGAACUGGAGUGUGGCAGAGGGGGGUGGAAUUCCGCGUGUAGCAGUGAAAUGCGUAGAGAUGCGGAGGAACACCGAUGGCGAAGGCAGCCCCCCUGGGUCAAGAUUGACGCUCAUGCACGAAAGCGUGGGGAGCAAACAGG